rnacentral:lncRNA from 1 species
GUUCUUGCGCUUGUCUUGCCCUCCAUUGUACUUCUGGGGCAUAGUUGCCUGGAAACCCAGAGUAGCCCAAAGCCUCCCCGUGCAGUGAAGGACUGAGCAGUCAGAAGGUGGUAACUAUUGAUAUCCUGCGACUCUUUAAAAAUCCCCACCCACGUCCUCUGCUCCUCCUGAGAAGCCUUCCCGCCUUUACUACCAUUCAUUUGGAAGCGGUUUUUAAACAUAAAGGAUAUUAGGACACAUGGUUAAUUAUAAAUCUAUAUGAUUAUGUAUCUCUGAACACAAAAUCGUAUAGACUUCCCAGUGCUGGUCUUCCACGAGUAAACUGCAUUUUGUCCAAAGUUUGGGAUAUACAACAUGUUCUCCAUUUGUUCCUUAUUUAUUGUAGUAAAACUUACAGACAAGAUGUAAUUGUGUGUGUUCUUCCUAAAAUUGUAUCGCCUCUAAAGUUGCCCACAGACUUGAAUCGAACCAUCAAAAAUAAAAGGACUCUUAUUUUUGUGG